CAGCAGCCACGGGAACACCAGCACCUCGAGUGGUCAGGAGGUUUAUUGGGCCUAAAGCAUCCGUAGCCGGUUGCAUAAGUUUUCGGUUAAAUCUAUGCGCUUAACGUAUAGGCCGCCGAAAAUACUGUGCAGCUAGGGAGUGGGAGAGGUACACGGUACUCGAUAGGAAGGGGUAAAAUCCUUUGAUCUAUUGAUGACCACCUGUGGCGAAGGCGGUGUACCAGAACACGUUCGACGGUGAGGGAUGAAAGCUGGGGGAGCAAACAGGAUUAGAUACCCCAGUAGUCCCUGUCUCUUAUAA
rnacentral:rRNA from 1 species